CGUCCUACGGGAGGCAGCAGUGGGGAAUAUUGCACAAUGGGGGAAACCCUGAUGCAGCAACGCCGCGUGAGUGAAGAAGGUUUUCGGAUUGUAAAGCUCUGUUAGCAGGGAAGAGGAAGGACGGUACCUGCAGAGGAAGCCACGGCUAACUACGUGCCAGCAGCCGCGGCAAUACGUAGGUGGCAAGCGUUGUUCGGAAUAACUGGGCGUAAAGGAUGCGUAGGCGGUUAAAGAAGUUAAAUGUUAAAUAAAUAGGCUUAAACUGUAGAAAGCAUAUAAAACAGAUUAACUAGAGUGCAGG
rnacentral:rRNA from 1 species